AAUAGAUACCCAGGUAGUCCACGCCGUAAACGGUGGGCGCUAGGUGUGGGGACUUUCCACGUCCUCUGUGCCGCAGCUAACGCAUUAAGCGCCCCGCCUGGGGAGUACGGCCGCAAGGCUAAAACUCAAAGGAAUUGACGGGGGGCCCGCACAAGCGGCGGAGCAUGUGGCUUAAUUCGACGCAACGCGAAGAACCUUACCAAGGCUUGACAUGCAGGGAAAUCUCGUAGAGAUACGGGGUCCGCAAGGGCUCUGCACAGGUGGUGCAUGGUUGUCGUCAGCUCGUGUCGUGAGAUGUUGGGUUAAGUCCCGCAACGAGCGCAACCCCUUGUCCUAUGUUGCCAGCGAGUAAUGUCGGGGACUCAUAGGAGACUGCCGGGGUCAACUCGGAGGAAGGUGGGGAUGACGUCAAAUCAUCAUGCCCCUUAUGUCUUGGGCUGCACACAUGCUACAAUGGUCGGUACAAAGGGCUGCGAGACCGCAAGGUGGAGCGAAUCCCGAAAAAGCCGGCCUCGAGUUCGGAUUGGGGUCUGACC
rnacentral:rRNA from 1 species